AGUGCCGUAGGCAAAUCGGAUUAAGCCGCUUGUCUUUCAAACAGGUGAUUGCGGGUUCAAGUCCCGUCGGCACUA
rnacentral:tRNA from 1 species